GCCCCGGUAGCUCAGCCUGGUGGAGCGCCUCACUGGUAGUGAGGAGGUCCCGGGUUCGAAUCCCGGCCGGGGCU
rnacentral:tRNA from 1 species